rnacentral:rRNA from 1 species
AGGGGAGUGUCGGAUAUUGGGCGUAAGGGCAUGCAGGCGGUCUGCUAAGUUCGGGGUGACAGUCAUCAGCUUAACUGGUGAAGGACUUCGAAAACUGGUGGACUUGAGAGCGAGAGAGGGACAUGGAACUCCGGGUGGAGCAGUGAAAUGCGUAGAUAUCCGGAAGAACACCAAAGGCGAAGGCAGUGUCCUGGCUCGUUUCUGACGCUGAGGUGCGAAAGCUAGGGGAGCGAACGGGAUUAGAUACCCCGGUAGUCCUAGCCGUAAACGAUGACCACCAGGCGUGGGAGGGAUCGACCCCUUCCGUGCCGAAGCUAACGCAGUAAGUGGUCCGCCUGGGGAGUACGGUCGCAAGACUAAAACUCAAAGGAAUUGACGGGGACCCGCACAAGCAGCGGAGCGUGUGGUUUAAUUCGAUGCGAGGCGAAGAACCUUACCAGGACUUGACAUGUAUGCGCACCAGCCAGAGAUGGUUGUGCCCGCGAGGGACGCAUACACAGGUGCUGCAUGGCUGUCGUCAGCUCGUGCCGUGAGGUGUUGGGUUAAGUCUCGCAACGAGCGCAACCCCUAUCGUUAGUUGAACUUUUCUAACGAGACUGCCACUUCUAGGUGGAGGAAGGUGGGGAUGACGUCAAGUCAGCACGGCCCUUACGUCCUGGGCGACACACACGCUACAAUGGUCGGGACAGAGGGGAGCCAACCCGCGAGGGGGAGCUAAUCUCAUAAACCCGAUCUCAGUUCGGAUUGCAGGCUGCAACCCGCCUGCAUGAAGCUGGAGUUGCUAGUAACCGUGGGUCAGCACACCACGGUGAAUACGUUCCCGGGUCUUGUACACACCGCCCGUCACACCACGAAAGUCGGCAACACCUGAAGCCGCUGGGCUAACCCUGUGGGGAGGCAGGCGUCGAGGGUGGGGUCGGUGAUUGGGGUGAAGUCGUAACAAGGUAACC